rnacentral:rRNA from 1 species
AGUAGCUCAAAUUUGAAAUCUGGGGUCCUCGACCUCCGAGUUGUAAUUUGGAGAGGAAUCUUCUGGGGGGAGCGCCGGCCCAUGUUCCUUGGAACAGGACGUCACAGAGGGUGAGAAUCCCGUGCCAGGCCGGCUGCCUCCUCCCGUGUGAAGGCCCUUCGACGAGUCGAGUUGUUUGGGAAUGCAGCUCCAAGUGGGUGGUAAAUUUCAUCUAAAGCUAAAUACCGGCGGGAGACCGAUAGCGCACAAGUAGAGUGAUCGAAAGAUGAAAAGCACUUUGAAAAUAGAGUCAAAAAGUACGUGAAAUUGUUGAAAGGGAAGCGCUUGAGACCAGACUCAGGCCCGGGCAAACAUCUCUCCCCUCGGGGCCGUGCAAUUGCCUGGGGCUGGGCCAGCAUCAGUUGGCGUGGCGGGACAAAGGCGCGGGGAAUGUGGCUCCCCUCGGGGAGUGUUAUUAGCCCCGCGCUCAAUGCCGCCGGCGCCGACUGAGGACCGCGCCUCGGCUAGGAUGCUGGCUUAAUGGCCUUCAGCGACCCGUCUUGAAACACGGA